UUAGAUAUAAUAAAGAGUUGGGCCUGCUCGGUGAUAUUUUUAACAGCUGCGGUAUUAUAACUGUACUAAGGUAGCAUAAUAAUUUGCCUUAUAAAUUAAGGCUAGAAUGAAUGGUUUGACGAAAAUUAAUCUGUCUCUAUUAUAAUUAUUAGAAGUUAAUGUUUAUAGUGAAAAAGCUUAAAUUAUUUAAAGGGACGAGAAGACCCUAUUGAGCUUGAUAUUAAAAUAUAAAUUUUUUUUUAAAGUUAAUAUAAAUUAUGUUUAUGGGUUUUAAAUUUUGAUUGGGGUGAUCAAGGAAUAAAAAAGAUUAAUGUAUAUAUAUUAACUUCCUUAUAUAUAAAUAUUUAUAGAUAAAUAAACCGAGAGUUUUGCUUAAAAAGUAAGUUACCAUAGGGAUAACAGCGUAAUUUUUUUAGAGAGUUCUUAUUAAAAAAAAAGAUUGCGACCUCGAUGUUGGAUUAAAAUUACCUUUGGGUGCAGAAGCUCAGAUAGGUGAAUCUGUUCGAUUUUUAAAA
rnacentral:rRNA from 1 species